GUUGUCACCCUGAGCUUCUGCAGGCAGGGGGCGUCAGGAGGAGCCGCUCGGUGGGGUCUGAGGCCUUUUCUGUCAUGCAAGUGAGUAGGGCAGAGGGACGGGUUGCUGACCUCAGGGACACAGCUGGGACAUGGUCCAUGGAUGUAAUGUGGCCCCGCGUCCUUGACACCCAUGUGUGUUUCCCUGACAUCAGGAGCAAGCUCUUCUUAAAAGAGGAAUCCACUGAAAGGAGAAGUGCUGGCCAGGUUGACUGCAGCCCCCCGGCUCCCGGUCACUUGAUAGUGUGCCCGCCGCAGUGCUGGACGCGCGCCUUGCUCAGGAACAGAUGUUCGGAUUGCCAGGAGGCUGGUACCUAACGCCCACGCCGCCAUCUGCUCGACUGGGCAGGGCCGGGGAAGCAGCCCCGGCCCGAGGCCCUCCAGUCCUUGGUGGUGUGUACUUAACAGGAUUGUGUGAGAUUGUUUCUGGAGGGAAGAAAAAUAAUAAUAAAGAUGUUUUCAGGGUUAUAAAUAGUGCACGCUGCUUAUUAUGGGAUGGAGCUCGUCUCUCUGACUAGCAGCCCAGUUUCUGUGCAGUGUGAGCAGAGGGGGGAUCUGAACAGAAUGUACAAUGUCUACCCCACAUGGGGAGGACAGAGGCAGCAUGGGGAGCCAAGGUCACAGGUGUUCUGGGCCUUGUGGGUCUGAACCCAAAAAGAUACAGCGGAGAGCGAAGAGAGGAGUGAGUGGGCUCGGGGCUUGUGGACCUUGGUCCCCACUUCAGCCCCAGGAAGGUGGGCUCAGGAAUUCGAGGCCCUUCGGUCCUCAGAGGGCAGGGUUGGGUCACACCCCUGUCCCGCUCGCCAUCUGAGGAAAUCUCUGAGCUGCACUUGUAAAAUGGGGCGAGCAGUGGUCCAACUUCACUGGGCUGCUGCACAGCGUGAGAGGUGGUUCGCAUACAGGACCAGCACUACACCCCUGUGUGCCUGUGCUCCGGG
rnacentral:lncRNA from 1 species